rnacentral:rRNA from 1 species
GACGAACGCUGGCGGCGUGCUUAACACAUGCAAGUCGAACGGUGAUCCAGGUACUUGUAUCUGGUGAUCAGUGGCGAACGGGUGAGUAACACGUGAGUAACCUGCCCUUCACUCUGGGAUAACUCCGGGAAACCGGGGCUAAUACCGGAUAUGACACCAAUCCGCAUGGGUAUGGUGUGGAAAGUUUUUCGGUGGAGGAUGGACUCGCGGCCUAUCAGCUUGUUGGUGAGGUAANGGCUCACCAAGGCGACGACGGGUAGCCGGCCUGAGAGGGCGACCGGCCACACUGGGACUGAGACACGGCCCAGACUCCUACGGGAGGCAGCAGUGGGGAAUAUUGCACAAUGGGCGAAAGCCUGAUGCAGCGACGCCGCGUGA